GCUUAAAGGAGGUUGCAUUGCUUACCCGCAACGUAGGAUAGCCAAAGUCUGUGGGGUCGCCACGCCAGGAUGCAGGACAAUGUACGAGAGAUGUCUUUGAGAAUUUGGAUAUAUGAGAACUGACGUUGACCGAAGGAAAUACGCUUUUGGUAAAAAUCCAAUCCAAUCCAAUCAAAAUCUUGGACGAGCUCGAGAACUGGGAUAUCAAAGGUGGAUUUGAAAUUUUUUCGAGAAUAUAAAGGACUGCUAUUCGCGCUGUAAUUUUCGUAAAUGUUCCAUGAGGAGUGAUUUGAAAGACAUGAUGGAAGAUGUCCGGAGGGACAAGCCACUGUCUUCCGCUGUGUUAUAACGAUUCGUUAAUAUUAAGUAGAUGUAAAGAGCCUCGUAGACAAGGUCCCCUUACCUUUCACGCGGUAAUGAAAAGCGGAACAUCCACGCGCGCCGUCUCUUUCGAAGCAGCAAACAGGAUCGCUUUUAUCUCGUCGUGGUGUUUGAGAUAAAAUUUCUAUUCGGACCAGAUAAAGUCAUUCGAUACCGAAACGGUUUCUAAGCAGCAUCGUUACACUUUUUUACAAUUACAUUUGCAUAUCGUUCUUCAGUUUUCAAAUUUUUAAGUUUCAGUUUUUAAAUUAUCAAAGCCUUUUUCCACAUUUUUCAAAGAUGUAUCUUUCCGGAUUUCAAAUUAUAGAAGCGGGGAUAAAAUGUUAAUUAUUAGCAUGAAUUAAUUGACUUACCA